AACAAAGAAGUAAAAUAUACAAUUAGUUUCGACCUAAAAUUAAAGAGCUUGUUCUUCAUGUUU
rnacentral:tRNA from 1 species